AGAGUUGAUCCUGGCUCAGGAUGAACGCUAGCUACAGGCUUAACACAUGCAAGUCGAGGGGCAGCAGGACGAUAGCUUGCUAUGUUGCUGGCGACCGGCGCACGGGUGAGUAACGCGUAUCCAACCUUCCCCUUAGUAGGGCAUAGCCCGUAGAAAUGCGGAUUAAUACCCUAUGUUAUUCGUCGAGGACAUCUGAAGUGAAUCAAAGGUUUACCGCUAAGGGAUGGGGAUGCGUCUGAUUAGGCAGCAGGCGGGGUAACGGCCCACCUGGCCUACGAUCAGUAGGGGUUCUGAGAGGAAGGUCCCCCACAUUGGAACUGAGACACGGUCCAAACUCCUACGGGAGGCAGCAGUGAGGAAUAUUGGUCAAUGGGCGCGAGCCUGAACCAGCCAAGUAGCGUGCAGGACGACGGCCCUAUGGGUUGUAAACUGCUUUUAUGCGGGGAUAAAGUGCGGCACGUGUGCCGUUUUGUAGGUACCGCAUGAAUAAGGACCGGCUAAUUCCGUGCCAGCCGCGGC
rnacentral:rRNA from 1 species